CUGAAGUCAGACGCUUAACCGACUGAACCAACCAGACGCCUCAUCCUUUAAGUCUUUUGAAGGAUGUCGCUCCACAGUCUUCUGGCUUUCAUUCAUCCCAGCCAGAAAUCUGUUGUCAUCCUUAUCUUUGUCCCUCUGUGUAUGAUAGAUACAUCUGUCUGCCUCUGAUUGUUUUCAAAUUAUUCUCUUUAUCACUGAUACUGAGCAAUUUGUAUUUGAUGUCCCUUGGUGUAGCUUUCUUCAUGCUUAGAAUUUGUUCACUAUAUUAUUUGAGGAAAUUUUGGUCUUUAAUUCUUCCCAUAUAUUUGUGUCUCUUUCUUCAGGGGUACAAGUUACAUGGACAUUCGGCUGCUUGAACUUGUUCCACUACUCACAGCGUCCAGUUAAUUGCAAGGAAUUUUUGGAGUCGUUACAGCAGGCUCGGCUCUCUCACUCCC